rnacentral:rRNA from 1 species
AUUGAACGCUGGCGGCAUGCUUUACACAUGCAAGUCGAACGGCAGCGAGGAGAAGCUUGCUUCUCUGUCGGCGAGUGGCGAACGGGUGAGUAUAGCAUCGGAACGUGCCAAGUAGUGGGGGAUAACCAAACGAAAGUUUGGCUAAUACCGCGUAAGCUCUAAGGAGGAAAGUAGGGGACCUAAAUAAGGCCUUACGCUAUUUGAUCGGCCGAUGUCGGAUUAGCUAGUUGGUGGGGUAAUGGCUCACCAAGGCGAUGAUCCGUAGCGGGUCUGAGAGGACGAUCCGCCACACUGGGACUGAGACACGGCCCAGACUCCUACGGGAGGCAGCAGUGGGGAAUUUUGGACAAUGGGGGAAACCCUGAUCCAGCCAUGCCGCGUGUAUGAAGAAGGCCUUAGGGUUGUAAAGUACUUUUGUUAGGGAAGAAAAGCUAGUUUUUAAUAAAAAUUAGUGAUGACGGUACCUAAAGAAUAAGCACCGGCUAACUACGUG